GAUAACCAGUCGAAAGAUUGGCUAAUACCGGAUAAGCCCACGGUCUCUUCGGAGNCUGAGGGAAAAGGUGGCCUCUGUAUACAAGCUAUCACAACCAGAUGAGUCCGCGGCCCAUCAGCUAGUUGGCGGGGUAAUGGCCCACCAAGGCGACGACGGGUAGCUGGUCUGAGAGGACGAUCAGCCACACUGGAACUGAGACACGGUCCAGACUCCUACGGGAGGCAGCAGUGGGGAAUUUUGCGCAAUGGGCGAAAGCCUGACGCAGCAACGCCGCGUGUGUGAUGAAGGUCUUUGGAUUGUAAAGCACUUUCGACCGGGACGAAACCGUAAAGCCUAAUACGCUUUGCCUUGACGGUACCGGGAGAAGAAGCACCGGCUAACUCUGUGCCAGCAGCCGCGGUAAUACAGAGGGUGCAAGCGUUGUUCGGAAUUAUUGGGCGUAAAGCGCGUGUAGGCGGCUUUGCAAGUCGGGUGUGAAAGCCCUCAGCUCAACUGAGGAAGUGCGCCCGAAACUGCAGAGCUUGAGUGCCGGAGAGGGUGGCGGAAUUCCCCAAGUAGAGGUGAAAUUCGUAGAUAUGGGGAGGAACACCGGUGGCGAAGGCGGCCACCUGGACGGUAACUGACGCUGAGACGCGAAAGCGUGGGUAGCAAACAGGAUUAGAUACCCUGGUAGUCCACGCCGUAAACGAUGAGAACUAGGUGUCGNGGGANUUGACCCCCG
rnacentral:rRNA from 1 species